AUUGAACGCUGGCGGCAGGCCUAACACAUGCAAGUCGAACGAGUGGCGGACUGGUGAGUAAUGUAUGGGAACCUGCCUGAUGGAGGGGGAUAACUACUGUAAACGGUAGCUAAUACCGCAUACCAUCGGAUGUGCCCAGAUGGGAUUAGCUAGUAGGUGGGGUAAAGGAUCACCUAGGCGACGAUCCCUAGCUGGUCUGAGAGGAUGACCAGCCACACUGGAACUGAGAAACGGUCCAGACUCCUACGGGAGGCAGCAGUGGGGAAUAUUGCACAAGGGGCGCAAGCCUGAUGCAGCAAUGCCGCGUGUAUGAAGAAGGGCUUCGGGUUGUAAAGUACUUUCAGCGGGGAGGCGGUACCCGCAGAAGAAGCACCGGCGAACUCCGUGCCAGCAGCCGCGGUAAUAC
rnacentral:rRNA from 1 species